AGCCGCGGUAAGACGUAGGGCGCGAGCGUUGUCCGGAUUUAUUGGGCGUAAAGAGCGCGUAGGCGGCUUCUCAAGUCGGGUGUGAAAUCCCAGGGCUCAAGCCUGGAAGUGCAUUCGAAACUGGGUAGCUAGAGUACUGGAGAGGAAGGUGGAAUGCUUGGUGUAGAGGUGAAAUUCGUAGAUAUCAAGCGGAACACCGGUGGCGAAGGCGGCCUUCUGGACAGAUACUGACGCUGAGACACGAAAGCGUGGGGAGC
rnacentral:rRNA from 1 species